CCUGCCAGACAGUGAAACUGCGUACGGCUCAUUACACCAGCUGUAAUUUACUUGACCUUGACAACCUACUUGGAUAACUGUGGUAAUUCUAGAGCUAAUACAUGCACCAAAGCUCCGAUCCUCGCGGAGAGGAGCGCAUUUGUUCGCCACAAAACCAAGCGCCUUCACAGGCGUUCAGUGUUGACUCAGAACAACUCAGCUGAUCGCACGGUCUUGCACCGGCGACGUGUCUUUCAAGUGUCUGCCUUAUCAACUUUCGAUGGUAGUGUACCUGACUACCAUGGUGAUGACGGGUAACGGAGGAUAAGGGUUCGACUCCGGAGAAGGGGCCUGAGAAAUGGCCACUACGUCUAAGGAUGGCAGCAGGCGCGCAAAUUACCCACUCUCAACAUGAGGAGGUAGUGACGAGAAAUAACGAGACUGUUCUCAUAUGAGGCCAGUUAUUGGAAUGGGUACAAUUUAAACCCUUUAACGAGUAUCUAUGAGAGGGCAAGUCUGGUGCCAGCAGCCGCGGUAAUUCCAGCUCUCAAAAUGCAUAGAAUUAUUGCUGCGGUUAAAAAGCUCGUAGUUGGAUCUGUGUUGGCCGCCCGGUCUGCCCCUCGUGGUAUGUACUGGUGCGGUCGGCUUUUCUGUCGGAAUGCCUCACAGCGUUGGCCUUCACUGGCYGGCGUUGCGGGUCCGGCAAGUUUACUUUGAACAAAUCAGAGUGCUUCAAACAGGCGUCUCGCCUGAAUGUUCGUGCAUGGAAUAAUAGAAGAGGAUCACGGUCCGAUUUUAUUGGUUUUGCUGACCGAGAUAAUGGUUAACAGAGACAAACGGGGCCAUUCGUAUUGCUGCGUGAGAGGUGAAAUUCUUGGACCGUAGCAAGACGGACUACAGCGAAAGCAUUUGGCAAGAAUGUCUUCAUUAAUCAAGAACGAAAGUCAGAGGU
rnacentral:rRNA from 1 species